CACAUCCCAAGCAGGCCUGCUUGGACAGUUUGCCCUGCAUGAUGCGAGACAGGCUGGAGAGGGAUCAAGGACCCUUUGGGAUUGGAAUUCUGGGUUUUGCGUGUGAGAGUUUAACUGGCUAAGACCAGGCCAGUACAUGAGCGCAGGCCCAAGAUCCGAAAGGGAAAGUCCUGAACGCCCCCUUCCCCCUGUCUUUUCGGCGGGGCUUUGGGAGUUUGCAGGGUGUUCUGAGUGUUUGGGCCUCAGGGAUUCUCACCUCCGGGAGAUUCCAGGAGCUGUAGGGGGUGGAAUGCGAGUAGGAGGAGAGUUGCAGAUGGAUAUCGUGGCCUGCUGAUGGUUUUGGAGCCCAGGUCCAGACAUUUCUUGAUUGAAGUAGACAUUCAAGAAGUGUGAAAUGCACAGUCAGAAAAUCUGGGACUUCUCUUUUUCCUUGUCAGAAUCAGGAUUGAAAAAUGAUUCAGCGGGGAAUAGCUUCUUUACAGUGAGAGCCCGUGUUAUUGAUUUUUGUGUCUGUAUACAACCUAAAAGAAUGGAGGCGUGUGUCCCUCUCUUUCGGAAAUAAUGAUAUCAUCCAUGUGUAAUUAAUUAUGUGGGGCCCAUGUUGGAAGACUGUGUAGCCAGCUCUUGGCUGUCGAAGCACUGACUACAUGGAUUUAACCUGCCAUUGACAGUGGCGCCAUUUUUCUGGUCCUCCAGAGGAACAUAAACCUGUCCAUUUUACUCAUCUUGAAGGAGUUUUGGCAAAACAUGUAUUAGGGCAGAAAAUGAAACCUCACUAGAGCUCCCUUUGCACUGGAAGGCUGGAGGAAUUUCGUGGACUUGGAGGCUCUGCCCUGUGCUCCACGGCCACAAGCCCUUAAGUGUUGUCUCCACAGCAUUUGCAUUUGCUGUCCUCAAAGCCCCGCUCCUCCCUCUCCCGUCGCUGUCCUCAAAGCCCCGCUCCUCCCUCUCCCGUCGCUGUCCUCAAAGACCCACUCCUCCCUCUCCCAUACACGAUUUUGAGCUAUAUCCUUAAUAUCCAGGUUCCUUUGUGUUUCCUGGUAAUGGGUAGAAGUGCAAGGGGAUUUCAGCUCCCAAGAGACAGGGUUUCCCCGUGCCUAAGACCCCAGGGUUGAUGCUACUCUGUCAUCAAGUGGUGACUGUGACUCUUCCCCCCGCAACCUCAGGAGGUUUUUUUGGACUUCAUCCCAGAUCCUGAGCUGGAGCUGGUCCUGGGAUGCAGAGCGUGCCUGUCCUAGUGAACUGAAGUGUCUCCAAAAGGGUUCCUGAAAACAGAACAAAGUUGCCCAGCCAGGCACGCAGGCCAGGGCAGGAAACUGGCCUUGGGGCCACCUCCGCUCAGGAUGGGGUGGAGGCAAACAGACUUGUGCGUCAUCCUUCACAAAGAAGGUUCUCUCAGAUAUUUGGAUUUCCUUGAGGAGCCCUCAAAGCAAUAAAAUAAUAUGUCCUUCAGACUGAGAACACUGACCGUGUCUGCAAGGCAGAGUGGGGCGCCGCAUGAGGUCUGCAUCUCAGAGGCUCCAGGCAGGAGUCUGGCUCUACUUGUUUUUCAGAGUAUUCUCUGGGAGGCACACACCUUUCCCAUUUUCUGGUGUGCCCAGCAAUAGGACGUCGUGUUAUCUUUCCUGAGGGUCGGACAGACGUUCGCUUGUGAGGGUAGGAUCCUGCUCCCUUCAUAGUAAGCAGAAAAUCCAGUCAUAUUGCACUAUGGGGGCCCAAUCUUUUUCUACUUUGGUGAAAUGUCCUGAAUCUCACCUCUGAGAAUACCUUUCUUGCUGUGUCCUGGCAUAGCUUCCUGAAACUGUCGGAAGAGGUCUUUUAUUCCUUAUUGAUAAUCUGGAAAUAGGGCUCUUUUGAAAACCUUUUUUUGUUUUUCCAAAGGAAAAAAAAAACCCAAAGAAGAUAAAACACUGAAUUAAAAAGAAAUAGACUCUUUGUGGCCGUCUAUAUUUUCCAAGGUUUCAUGUUUUUAACAAUGAAUAUGUAUUAUUUUGCAAUCGGAUACAAGCUGGGCUUUGUUUGUAAUUGACAACAGAGGGCUAUCAGCCCAGCUACCACUGGAAGCAGAGUGGUAUUUCAGAGUUUGUUCUCUCUCCCCACCACCUUUGGGGCGUCUGCUUCAUGUAAUUCCCACCCAGAAGCUCCCCUAAUGAGGGGUGCUCAUUCAAGGUCUCCCACAAGGAACAAAGCAUUUUCACAUUUUCCAAAGUCCGUUUCAUUGUUGAAAUAUUGUAAUAGAAAGCAGGAUAUAUUUGCACUGUAAUUUUAGAGCAAUUUUGGAAGUAGAAACAUUUUGUGGGUCUCAUCUCAUAGACCUAUGUCCAUCCAGGAACUUCCUAUCUUUCUUUUAAAAGAAAAGAUGUCAGGUUUGUCAAAGAUCAGAUGGUUAUAGAUGUGUGGUGUUAUUUCUGAGGCCUCUGUUCUGUUCCAUUGGUCUAUAUGUCUGUUUUGAUACCAGUACCAUGCUCUUUUGGUUACUGUAGCCUUGUAGUAUAGUUUGAUGUAGUAUAGUCAGGUAGCAUGAUGCCUCCAGCUUUGUUCUUUUUGCUUAGGAUUAUCUUGGCUAUAAGGGCUCUUUUUUUGUUCCACAUGGGGGGAAAGGGGAGGGAGAGCAUUAGGACAAAUACCUAAUGCAUGCAGGGGUUAAACCUAGAUAAUGGAUUGAUAGGUGCAGCAAACCACCAUGGCACAUGUAUACCUAUGUAACAAACCUGCACAUUCAGCCCAUGUAUCCCAGAACUUAAAAUUUAAAAAAAAAUUUUAAAGAAAAUUUUUUUUAAAAAAAGAAAAAAUGUAAAAUUAUUGAUACAAUGAUCUGACGUUCAGGUCAUCAUUUGGUCCAUUUUGAUUAUUUUGAAUGAUGACAAAGACCAGUUAUUAAGACAUUUUUUCAUCAAGGUUUAGCUUCUUGCUGUGGGAGGGGGGGUCGUAGUGUUCUGGGUUUAUAGAUGAGAAUGAGAGGUCCCAGGGACACAUGUGGUGGAAACUUUGCCUUCACUGGAGUGUCAACCCAGUCAUGCCCUUUAGGCUGGAUCAGAAAAGCAGAGAUUUGAAAAAUUAUGCUACAUGGCUUCUGUGCAAUCAUUCGGGUGACUUAUUAAGAAGGAUGGGAGCAGGUGCAGUUUGCAAGGAUUUCAUAAGGGGAAUCUCAUUAGCAGGAGAGGAAGGAGAAGAGAAGACCUACCCUGUCCCAUCCUACAGAGAAACUAGAUGUUGCCCUUCAGAAUUUAUAUUUUGGGUUCUGUUAUCCAUUUGUGCUUUUUCAUUUUGCCUCUGGCCUCUCAGGAAACAAAGACAGCCCCUGUUUAAGGAUCAAGGCCCCCACAUUGAGGAAUGGAGGGUCCCCUUUCUCUUACUGAGGGCCUAGACAGAUGGUCACCAUCUAGGGGCCAAGCUGAACCAUGUGUCUUCAGCAUCCUGGCAGCAUGCACAGCUCUGGGGACCCAGCCCAUCCCAGGCUGUGCCCUGAUGGAAUGGGCUGGAAGCUUCUGGCAGUGCCAGUCUGGGAUUUCCCUGGCCGUCUUCCCUGUGUCCUGCUCAGCCUCUGAGGAUUUUUGUCAGAGAGUAAAGAACUCAGAAGGCUUUUUAAAAUUGUGCUAAAAUAUGCACAACAUAAAGUUUAUCAUUUUAACCAUUGUUGUAUGUUAUUCUUUGAGUGUAGUUAGUGCAUCAAUACUCACAAAUAGGUUUUGUCUGUAAUUUUCACUCAUGCAAUUUGUCAGAUUUUACUAUCACUAUGAUGCUCACUUUUUUAUUGUAAUAAAACCAUAUAACAUAGAAUUUACCAUCUUAACCUUUUUUUUUUUUUUUUUUUUUGAGACAGUCUCACUCUGUGGAGUGCAGUGGCGCGAUCUCGACUCACUGCAACCUCCGCCUACUGGGUUCAAGCAAUUCUCCCACCUCAGCCUCCCAGGUAGCUGGGAUUACAAGUAUCCACCAUCAUGCCCAGCUAAUUUUUCUAUUUUUGUAGAGACGGGGGUUUCG
rnacentral:lncRNA from 10 species